AUACAUAUCUGGCAGGAGAUAUACCAUGGUCAGGAGGGUGGUUUUCCCAGGGCGAGGCUCAUCCAUUGCAUUCCUGAUGUGCUGACCUCUGUGACUUCCCCAAAUGUGGGAAUCAUUGUGGUAGUAGGGGACUGUGUUCACACUAUCCCCUA
rnacentral:snRNA from 1 species